GACGAACGCUGGCGGCGUGCUUAACACAUGCAAGUCGAACGGAAAGGCCCUGCUUUUGUGGGGUGCUCGAGUGGCGAACGGGUGAGUAACACGUGAGUAACCUGCCCUUGACUUUGGGAUAACUCCAGGAAACUGGGGCUAAUACCGGAUAGGAGCUCCUGCUGCAUGGUGGGGGUUGGAAAGUUUCGGCGGUUGGGGAUGGACUCGCGGCUUAUCAGCUUGUUGGUGGGGUAGUGGCUUACCAAGGCUUUGACGGGUAGCCGGCCUGAGAGGGUGACCGGCCACAUUGGGACUGAGAUACGGCCCAGACUUCUACGGGAGGCAGCAGUGGGGAAUAUUGCACAAUGGGCGGAAGCCUGAUGCAGCAACGCCGCGUGCGGGAUGACGGCCUUCGGGUUGUAAACCGCUUUCGCCUGUGACGAAGCGUGAGUGACGGUAAUGGGUAAAGAAGCACCGGCUAACUACGUGCCAGCAGCCGCGGUGAUACGUAGGGUGCGAGCGUUGUCCGGAUUUAUUGGGCGUAAAGGGCUCGUAGGUGGUUGAUCGCGUCGGAAGUGUAAUCUUGGGGCUUAACCCUGAGCGUGCUUUCGAUACGGGUUGACUUGAGGAAGGUAGGGGAGAAUGGAAUUCCUGGUGGAGCGGUGGAAUGCGCAGAUAUCAGGAGGAACACCAGUGGCGAAGGCUGUUCUCUGGGCCUUUCCUGACGCUGAGGAGCGAAAGCGUGGGGAGCGAACAGGCUUAGAUACCCUGGUAGUCCACGCUGUAAACGGUGGGUACUAGGUGUGGGGUCCAUUCCACGGGUUCCGUGCCGUAGCUAACGCUUUAAGUACCCCGCCUGGGGAGUACGGCCGCAAGGCUAAAACUCAAAGGAAUUGACGGGGCCCCGCACAAGCGGCGGAGCAUGCGGAUUAAUUCGAUGCAACGCGUAGAACCUUACCUGGGUUUGACAUGGAUCGGGAGUGCUCAGAGAUGGGUGUGCCUCUUUUGGGGUCGGUUCACAGGUGGUGCAUGGCUGUCGUCAGCUCGUGUCGUGAGAUGUUGGGUUAAGUCCCGCAACGAGCGCAACCCUUGUUCACUGUUGCCAGCACGUUAUGGUGGGGACUCAGUGGAGACCGCCGGGGUCAACUCGGAGGAAGGUGGGGAUGACGUCAAGCCAUCAUGCCCCUUAUGUCCAGGGCUUCACGCAUGCUACAAUGGCUGGUACAGAGAGUGGCGAGCCUGUGAGGGUGAGCGAAUCUCGGAAAGCCGGUCUCAGUUCGGAUUGGGGUCUGCAACUCGACCUCAUGAAGUCGGAGUCGCUAGUAAUCGCAGAUCAGCAACGCUGCGGUGAAUACGUUCCCGGGGCU
rnacentral:rRNA from 1 species